rnacentral:rRNA from 1 species
GACGAACGCUGGCGGCGUGCCUAAUACAUGCAAGUUGAGCGAUGAAGAUUGGUGCUUGCACCAAUUUGAAGAGCAGCGAACGGGUGAGUAACGCGUGGGGAAUCUGCCUUUGGGCGGGGGACAACAUUUGGAAACGAAUGCUAAUACCGCAUAACAACUUUAAACAUAAGUUUUAAGUUUGAAAGAUGCAAUUGCAUCACUCAAAGAUGAUCCCGCGUUGUAUUAGCUAGUUGGUGAGGUAAAGGCUCACCAGGGCGAUGAUACAUAGCCGACCUGAGAGGGUGAUCGGCCACAUUGGGACUGAGACACGGCCCAAACUCCUACGGGAGGCAGCAGUAGGGAAUCUUCGGCAAUGGACGAAAGUCUGACCGAGCAACGCCGCGUGAGUGAAGAAGGUUUUCGGAUCGUAAAACUCUGUUGGUAGAGAAGAACGUUGGUGAGAGUGGAAAGCUCAUCAAGUGACGGUAACUACCCAGAAAGGGACGGCUAACUACGUG